rnacentral:rRNA from 1 species
GAUGAACGCUGGCGGCGUGCUUCAUACAUGCAAGUCGAACGAGAAGUUACCUUCGGGUAAUGGAAAGUGGCGGACGGGUGAGUAAUACAUAGGAAAUCUGCCCUUAGGUGGGGGACAACAGUUGGAAACGACUGCUAAUACCGCAUAUGAGAUAUUCUGAAAUGGAUAUCUUGAAAACUCCGGUGCCUAAGGAUGAGCCUGUGCCUGAUUAGCUAGUUGGUGGUGUAAUGGACUACCAAGGCGACGAUCAGUAGCUGGUUUGAGAGGAUGAUCAGCCACAAUGGGACUGAGACACGGCCCAUACUCCUACGGGAGGCAGCAGUGGGGAAUAUUGCGCAAUGGGGGCAACCCUGACGCAGCAACGCCGCGUUAAGGAUGAAGGCUUUCGGGUUGUAAACUUAUGUCGGGUGGGAAGAUAAUGACGGUACCACCGGAGAAAGUCACGGCUAACUACGUG